ACCGCCUACGGGGGGCAGCAGUGGGGAAUAUUGCACAAUGGGGGAAACCCUGAUGCAGCGACGCCGCGUGAGUGAAGAAGAAUUUCGGUAUGUAAAGCUCUAUCAGCAGGAACGAGACAAGACGGUACCAGACUAAGAAGCCCCGGCUAACUACGGGCCAGCAGCCGCGGUAAUACGUAGGGGGCAAGCGUUAUCCGGAAUCACUGGGUGUAAAGGGAGCGUAGACGGCUGAGCAAGCCUGAAGUGAAAGGCGGGGGCCCAACCCCCGGACUGCUUGGGGAA
rnacentral:rRNA from 1 species